CGGACGGGUGAGUAACGCGUGAGAAUCUGGCUUCAGGUCUGGGACAACCACUGGAAACGGUGGCUAAUACCGGAUGUGCCGAAAGGUGAAAGGUUAACUGCCUGAAGAUGAGCUCGCGUCUGAUUAGCUAGUUGGAAGUGUAAUGGACUCCCAAGGCGACGAUCAGCAGCUGGUCUGAGAGGACGAUCAGCCACACUGGGACUGAGACACGGCCCAGACUCCUACGGGAGGCAGCAGUGGGGAAUUUUCCGCAAUGGGCGAAAGCCUGACGGAGCAAUACCGCGUGAGGGAGGAAGGCUCUUGGGUCGUAAACCUCUUUUCUCAGGGAAGAACACAAUGACGGUACCUGAGGAAUAAGCAUCGGCUAACUCCGUGCCAGCAGCCGCGGUAAUACGGAGGAUGCAAGCGUUAUCCGGAAUGAUUGGGCGUAAAGCGUCCGCAGGUGGCAAUGUAAGUCUGCUGUUAAAGAGUCUAGCUCAACUAGAUAAGAGCAGUGGAAACUACAUAGCUAGAGUACGUUCGGGGCAGAGGGAAUUCCUGGUGUAGCGGUGAAAUGCGUAGAGAUCAGGAAGAACACCAGUGGCGAAGGCGCUCUGCUAGGCCGUAACUGACACUGAGGGACGAAAGCUAGGGGAGCGAAUGGGAUUAGAUACCCCAGUAGUC
rnacentral:rRNA from 1 species